GUGGAGCCUGCGGCUUAAUUUGACUCAACACGGGAAACCUCACCAGGCCCGGACACCAGAAGGAUUGACAGAUUAAGAGCUCUUUCUCGAUUUGGUGGGUGGUGGUGCAUGGCCGUUCUUAGUUGGUGGAGUGAUUUGUCUGGUUAAUUCCGGUAACGAACGAGACUCUGGCCUACUAAAUAGUCGACGGGCGUUUUGGUGCAUGGGCCCCGUUCGACACAGUCUUCUUAGAGGGAUGAGCAGCGAGUAUAGCUGCAGGAGAUUGAGCAAUAACAGGUCUGUGAUGCCCUUAGAUGUCCUGGGCCGCACGCGCGCUACACUGAAUGGGUUAGCGGGUUGUCCUUCUCCGAGAGGAGCGGGAAAUCGCUUGAAAACCAUUCGUGAUAGGGAUUGGGGCUUGCAAUUGUUUCCCAUGAACGAGGAAUUCCCAGUAAGCGCAAGUCAUCAGCUUGCGUUGAUUAAGUCCCUGCCCUUUGUACACACCGCCCGUCGCUACUACCGAUUGAAUGAUUUAGUGAGGCCUUCGGACUGGCGGUCUUGGACUGGGGCGCCGGCGUUCUCCAGCAAUGGGGUGCCGGUGACCCGCCUAGACGGGCCGGAAAGAUGUCCAAACUUGAUCAUUUAGAGGAAGUAAAAGUCGUAACAAGGUUUCC
rnacentral:rRNA from 1 species